UGCCAGCCGCGCGGUAAUACGGAGAGGGCAAGCGUUGUUCGGAAUCACUGGGCAUAAAGCGCACGCAGGCGGAUUGGAAAGUCGGUUGUGAAAGCCCGGGGCUCAACUCCGGAACUGCUUCCGAAACUUCCAGUCUAGAGGAUGAGAGGGGAGAGUGGAACUUCUGGUGGAGCGGUGAAAUGCGUAGAGAUCUGAAGGAACAUCAGUGGCGAAGGCGACCUCCUGGACUGAUAUUGACGCUGAGGUGCGAAAGCGUGGGGAGCAAACAGGAUUAGAUA
rnacentral:rRNA from 1 species